rnacentral:miRNA from 1 species
AAUCUCAUUGACCGGAAGGGAUUCCUUCCGGUCAAUGAGAUGUAACAACCUCAUCGAUUGGAAGGGAUUCCUUCCAGUCAAUGAGGUA